GCCAUGAGCAGGUUGAAGGUUGGGUAACACUAACUGGAGGACCGAACCGACUAAUGUUGAAAAAUUAGCGGAUGACUUGUGGCUGGGGGUGAAAGGCCAAUCAAACCGGGAGAUAGCUGGUUCUCCCCGAAAGCUAUUUAGGUAGCGCCUCGUGAACUCAUCUUCGGGGGUAGAGCACUGUUUCGGCUAGGGGGUCAUCCCGACUUACCAAACCGAUGCAAACUACGAAUACCGAAGAAUGU
rnacentral:rRNA from 1 species